UGGCCCAUUGGCUCUUGGCGUUGUAUGGGCCUCCUAUUCAUUCCUAGAGAACCCUCUGAGGUUCUAAACGUGUCUUUGUUUUUUGAUGAUGGCUUCGCAUAUGAAGAAGACUUCAUGCCUUAGGUUCUUUCGCCCACACGCUUCCUUGUGAAAUGCUAAAUCUAUCUUGUGGUUUUGCUUAGUAAGUAGACACCUAUGAUAAAGUGAUGUCAAAGUAGGGAGCGAAGGGUUCUGGCCCCAAUACGUGGAAAAGGAUUUAUAAUGCAUUACCAAUCUUGCCUCUUAAGGCUAGAGAUUUUUUAGCUAUUCGUGUGAGUAUGGUGUCAUCAGUGUCAGUUUUUAGUGCAAGUGGAAGGAUUUAGAGAAAAAUACAUCACUUCAUGAAACACUUGAAACGACUAUUGGAAGCAUUGGUUUAAUGGGUUCGAUGAUGAUAAGGAAUGUUAAUUUGUUGCCUCUGAACUUCAACUUUGUUGCACACGAACUGUGUAACAGCUAUUUUUUUGUUCAUUAAUGCAAGUGAACUGCUAACUAGACAACACACGUUUAGUUCGAAAAAUAAGGAAUAUGGCUAAGGGUACAAGCAUGUGGUAUUUUUUGUCUAGCAAGUAUUUUACCUAUUUUCCUACUAUUCAUAAUAGUUUGUUGUUUUGAAUAUUACUGUUUCGGUCAUUCAUCAAUCUUAUGGGUAAAAGAAAAGACCUUCUAAUCUAAAUAUCUAGCUACCGUAGUUUGGCAGUUUGAGUUUCGCUACAUAUGCCGUAGUUGCAACUUAAACUGAAUAUGGAAAUAUUUGACGUUCAAGUAAUCCAACUAUUUAGAAAGUUUAGAUUUGAAACAUGCAAUCUUGUUGGUGCAAACUCUUGAUUUUUUAACAUUUAGAUGCUAAAACAAAAUUAGUAUCACACAAAGCAGCUUAGCCUUGCCAUCUCUUCAUGUUGUUCAACCAUUGUUAGUAGGUUUCGCUAAUGGGUGGUGCUCCAUUAUGCUGCUUGCACUGUAACGGUGUUUGUGGGUUCAACUCUUAAGACUUAAGUUAUUCACAUAGUCAUGGUGUUUGUGGGUUCAACUAUUGCAAACUUGAUGAAUUGCUGAGCUACUAUACAUCUUAUGUAGACAACUUGCAAGUGAGUUAGGUUUGAUUAGCUCUUUCUUUCUCUUUACACACGGAAUGGUCAUCUUUUCUCCAUGCUUCCUUUAUCUUUGCUUGCUGAUUUGCUGACAUGUAAUGGCACUCGACCACGAAUAUGAUUGUUGCCACUAUACACUAUUUAUUAGAUUUUCACUUAACUAUUGCUUUAGAUCCAAUAAGUCGUUUCAAGAAAAAUGUAUGUUGUCGAUACAUGUAUCGUCAAUACAUGAACAACAUGCUUUGUUUAGUUUUUUUUGUAAAUACAUGUGGUCAUGUGUUAGCUCCUGUAUUCAUUUGUUGAUUACUGAUAAAACUUGCAUGUGUCAUUAGGAAGGAAAAAGGCAAAUUUUGCUACAAGACAUCCAACUUCAAUGGAAUGGCUAAUUCACACCACACACGUUUUUAUAAUGGUAUUGGGUAUAUUUCGAUGUUGGCGGUAUGAAUUGGCCGAUUUCAUUGAAGUUGAAUGUCCUACUCCUAUAGCAAAAUUUGCUAAGAGAAAAAUGCUGAAUUCAGGAAGCAAGUCAAUAAAGUUUGAGUGAUGCUUUAGUUGGCUAUAGUAAUGCUUGGUAUAUUGAGUCCAGUUUUAGUUAGCACUAUUGUUGAGAAAAAAUACGUAUAAAUUACUGCAUGUUUUCAUGACUUGUUUGGAGACGUGACAUUUUUUUUGGAGUUGUACUUUUAUCACUUAAACUAUCAACUCUUUAGCCCAUAUUUUCUUGUUACCGUUUCCUUUACAAUUCAACACGCUAGCUUUGUUUUUUUUUUCACUUAAACUAUCAACUCUUUGGAGACGUGACAUUUUUUCUUGCAUGUGCUCAUUUGUCAUUUGUGUUGCUUUGUUUUUAUUUUAAUACUCGACACUGCAUAUGCUUAGCUAGUGUGCAUCGCAGCCCAUGGACUGAACUCCCACUUUGCUGUGCUCCGAUGCUAAUAGCCACUAGCCAGCCCACAAAAAUUGAGGUCCAUAAUCAGCCCAUGGAUCUUAACAGGGUUAUGGUAGGAGAGCAGGAUUACAUUUAGCAAACACAGCACAGGUUCCAUAUCACAAUCCGUCGUGCUCCAUUGCGAGCGCGCAACGCCCUCUGCACUGCGACGGGUCGACCCAGCAGAGCACAUGGCGGUCGCGCGCACGUGGGUACGUGUUCCUGGUGGGUGAGCAGUGGUUGACUGGUUAAGUUUUGCGCUGCUGCCUGCUACUACUCAUCGGUCGAUCACUACCCAUUAGUACUGCAAAUCAUUCGCACACUCAAUCAAGGUCGUCCGCCAUUGCUAGGCAAUUAUUCUAUUUUCUAGUUGUCAAUUUCUUUUUCAAUUUUUUUAUUUAAGUUCUUUUUCAUUGUGUGUCCUUUAUUUUACAAUUGUUUAUUUUUCAAUUUACUUUUUAUUAUCAAUUUCAGUUUCAGCUCUUUGUAACUUCAGUUUCAGCUCUUUUUCUUUUUUUUUCAUUUUUUCUUCUUUAUUUUUCAUUUUAUAUUUGUCAUUUUUAGUUCUUUUUUGUCAAUUUCGGUGUUAGUUUGCAGCGAGACAUGUUUCUGGGUUCUCAUAAUAACUGCCUCAAGUUGUGUAAUAACUCCCCCACUCCUAUUUGAGAGCUUAUGCAUUGCUUGUUUUACUAUUUGUAGUUAGUUUUUUCCAUUUAAUCUUCUUUAUUAGUUUUCAUUUUCUAUUUGCCAAUUUCAGUUUUAUUUUUUCUAGUCAUUUUUUUGUUAUCUUUUUUGUUGUGUCUUAUUUAGUUUUUAGUUUCUAUUUAUCAAUUUUAGUUUAAUUUUCUAGUUGUCAAUUUUAGUUUCAGUCUCUGGUAGCUGUUUUAGAGUGUUAAUUCCUAAAUCCUACAUAUUAGUUGUAUAAUAACUUGCCCUCUGAGUUAGCAUCUUAUGCAAUGCUGCUUCUAAUAAUUUGCCCUGCUACUUUUAUCUUUUUAAUAAAUGUCCCUUCAAUUGUCUGUAAUCAUGUUUUCAGCUCAUAUCGUGGGCUAUAUAAUAACUUGCCCCUCUAAGUGACAGCUUAUACAAUGCUUGUUCUAAUAAUUUGUCCUGAAGUUGUCAUCUGCCUUGUUUUGUGCAGUUACCCUUUUAUUAGUUAAUGACGUUGGCAGUGAGACAAGUUUUCUUCCUUUUCGUAAUGUGUUGUAUACUAAUUUGUCCCCCCUAAUUGGUACCUUAUGUAAUGUUUAUUUUAAUAAUUUGUCUCUUCAGGUUGCAGCUUAUCUUGUUUUCGUUCGCUACUCUCUUUAGGGGUUAGUACUUUUAUGUUAAUCCUAUCUAACAAAUUUAUUAUAUUUUCAUGGUCCAAAUCAAUGUGCAUACCAUGUAACAACUUUACUAUAUAUUUGGAGUAGCAACUUUAACUCGCAAAAAAAAGGAGUACCAACUGUAGUAUUACUCCCUUUGUCAUGAAAGAUAUUGCUUUCACGUCAUUCUAAGACAAAAAAGGGAGAGUGCAAUGAUGCAUGUACCCCUCACUUACUUUCCUAAUAUACUGAAAUCUGAUUCUAUUCCUCAUGAUUAAAGGAUGAACUCUUAGUCUCCUUAUACAAAAUAUGGCUAAGUAUAUGAGUUACUCACUAGCACAUAAAAGAUUUUUAGGGACAUCUCCCUUUUCUAUCAAAGGCGGUUAAAUUAGCACACUGCCUCUAACAUCGUCCGGGAGCACUGUAGGUCUAUGACCGCUGCUGAAGAUCCGUUUUCAGGGAUGGUUCAAUUGAGAAAUCUAUCUCUAAAAAUGUUUUCACUUUUAGGGAUGGUUUUGUUAAGAGAACCGUCUCUUAAAAUGCUGAUUUCCAGGGGCGGAGCUAGGGGCGUUUAUCGAGGUCAGCUGACCCCUAUAAAAUGUGAGAAGUCCUAUACAAAUUUGUUGUUAGCUAGUCUAUUUAGGUAGUGAUUAGUGGAGCUGACCCCAAUGGCUUGGCUGUCUGGCUUCGCCCCUGCUGAUUUCAGAUGUGGUUCUCUUAAGACAACCGCAACUAAAAAUCGCUUUAUAAAGACAGUUGUCGUCCUUAAAGAUAGCUACAACACAAAUAAAUGCAUAUCUUUUUCUAAAUA
rnacentral:lncRNA from 1 species